rnacentral:rRNA from 1 species
UGGGGAAUUUUGGACAAUGGGCGAAAGCCUGAUCCAGCAAUGCCGCGUGUGUGAAGAAGGCCUUCGGGUUGUAAAGCACUUUUGUCCGGAAAGAAAUCCUUGGCUCUAAUACAGUCGGGGGAUGACGGUACCGGAAGAAUAAGCACCGGCUAACUACGUGCCAGCAGCCGCGGUAAUACGUAGGGUGCAAGCGUUAAUCGGAAUUACUGGGCGUAAAGCGUGCGCAGGCGGUUUGCUAAGACCGAUGUGAAAUCCCCGGGCUCAACCUGGGAACUGCAUUGGUGACUGGCAGGCUAGAGUAUGGCAGAGGGGGGUAGAAUUCCACGUGUAGCAGUGAAAUGCGUAGAGAUGUGGAGGAAUACCGAUGGCGAAGGCAGCCCCCUGGGCCAAUACUGACGCUCAUGCACGAAAGCGUGGGGAGCAAACAGGAUUAGAUACCCUGGUAGUCCACGCCCUAAACGAUGUCAACUAGUUGUUGGGGAUUCAUUUCCUUAGUAACGUAGCUAACGCGUGAAGUUGACCGCCUGGGGGGUACGGUCGCAAGAUUAAAACUCAAAUGAAUUGACGGGGUCAUAGCUGUUUCC